GAUGAACGCUGGCGGUGUGCCUAACACAUGCAAGUCGAGCGGAAGGACGGUAAGAUCGUGCUCUUGCUGGUAGCGGGGGGCGGGCGAGUAACGAGUGCAUCAGCAUCUAAUAUGUCUGGGAGGAUAUCGGGGAAACGGUGCCAAUAAUGGCGCAUACUAUCUACCGCAGAGAUCAGAAGAGCUUGACGGCCUGCGCGAUUGUAAUAGACGGUGUCGCGCUGCAUUAGCUAGUUGGUAAGGUAACGGCUUACCAAGGCGACGAUGCGUAGCCGACCUGAGAGGGUGAUCGGCCACACUGGAACUGAGACACGGUCCAGACUCCUACGGGAGGCAGCAGUAGGGAAUCUUCCGCAAUGGGCGAAAGCCUGACGGAGCAACGCCGCGUGAGUGAUGAAGGUCUUCGGAUCGUAAAGCUCUGUUAUUGGGGAAGAACAUAUGUGGAAGUAACUGUGGACGUCUUGACGGUACCUAAUCAAAAAGCCACGGCUAACUACGUG
rnacentral:rRNA from 1 species